rnacentral:misc_RNA from 1 species
UACAGAGGGCUCGAGCGUUAAUCGGAAUCACUGGGCUUAAAGCGUACGUAGGCGGACUUGUAGGCAUCGCGUGAAAUCCCACGGCUCAACCGUGGAAUUGCUCGGUGAACCACAUGUCUUGAGGCAAGUAGGGGCCGUCGGAACGAUAGGUGGAGCGGUGAAAUGCGUAGAUAUCUAUCGGAACGCCAAAGACGAAGGUAGGCGGCUAGGCUUGUCCUGACGCUCAGGUACGAAAGCGUGGGGAGCAAACAGG